GACGAACGCUGGCGGCGUGCUUAACACAUGCAAGUCGAGCGGUAAGGCCCUUUCGGGGGUACACGAGCGGCGAACGGGUGAGUAACACGUGGGUGACCUGCCCUCAGCUCUGGGAUAAGCCUGGGAAACCGGGUCUAAUACUGGAUAUGACUCCAUGACGCAUGUUGUGGGGUGGAAAGCCUUGUGCGGCUGAGGAUGGGCCCGCGGCCUAUCAGCUUGUUGGUGGGGUGAUGGCCUACCAAGGCGACGACGGGUAGCCGGCCUGAGAGGGCGACCGGCCACACUGGGACUGAGACACGGCCCAGACUCCUACGGGAGGCAGCAGUGGGGAAUCUUGCGCAAUGGGCGAAAGCCUGACGCAGUGACGCCGCGUGAGGGAUGAC
rnacentral:rRNA from 1 species